rnacentral:rRNA from 1 species
UCGGAUUGCAGGCUGCAACCCGCCUGCAUGAAGUUGGAAUCGCUAGUAAUCGCGGAUCAGCAUGCCGCGGUGAAUACGUUCCCGGGCCUUGUACACACCGCCCGUCACACCAUGAGAGUCGGGAACACCCGAAGUCCGUAGCCUGACCGCAAGGGGGGCGCGGCCGAAGGUGGGUUCGAUAAUUGGGGUGAAGUCGUAACAAGGUAAC